UGGGGAAUAUUGGACAAUGGGCGCAAGCCUGAUCCAGCCAUACCGCGUGGGUGAAGAAGGCCUUCGGGUUGUAAAGCCCUUUUGUUGGGAAAGAAAUCCAGCUGGCUAAUACCCGGUUGGGAUGACGGUACCCAAAGAAUAAGCACCGGCUAACUUCGUGCCAGCAGCCGCGGUAAUACGAAGGGUGCAAGCGUUACUCGGAAUUACUGGGCGUAAAGCGUGCGUAGGUGGUCGUUUAAGUCCGUUGUGAAAGCCCUGGGCUCAACCUGGGAACUGCAGUGGAUACUGGACGACUAGAGUGUGGUAGAGGGUAGCGGAAUUCCUGGUGUAGCAGUGAAAUGCGUAGAGAUCAGGAGGAACAUCCAUGGCGAAGGCAGCUACCUGGACCAACACUGACACUGAGGCACGAAAGCGUGGGGAGCAAACAGGAUUAGAUACCCUGGUAGUCCACGCCCUAAACGAUGCGAACUGGAUGUUGGGUGCAAUUUGGCACGCAGUAUCGAAGCUAACGCGUUAAGUUCGCCGCCUGGGGAGUACGGUCGCAAGACUG
rnacentral:rRNA from 1 species